UACGUAGGGUCCAAGCGUUGUCCGGAAUUAUUGGGCGUAAAGAGCUCGUAGGCGGUUUGUCGCGUCUGCUGUGAAAACCCGAGGCUCAACCUCGGGCCUGCAGUGGGUACGGGCAGACUAGAGUGCGGUAGGGGGAGAUUGGAAUUCCUGGUGUAGCGGUGGAAUGCGCAGAUAUCAGGAGGAACACCAAUGGCGAAGGCAGAUCUCUGGGCCGUAACUGACGCUGAGGAGCGAAAGCAUGGGGAGCGAACAGG
rnacentral:rRNA from 1 species